rnacentral:rRNA from 1 species
AUUCCAGCUCCAAUAGCGUAUAUUAAAGUUGUUGCAGUUAAAAAGCCCGUAGUUGGAUUUGUGGUUGGAGCGGUCGGUCCGACACUCUGUGUGGGUACUUGACUGUCUCCGUCCAUCCUUGGGUGGAACCUGUGUGGCAUUAGGUUGUCGUGCAGGGGAUGCCCAUCUUUUACUGUGAAUAAAUUAGAGUGUUCAAAGCAGGCUUACGCCGUUGAAUAUGCUAGCAUGGAAUAAUAAGAUAGGACCUUGGUACUAUUUUGUUGGUUUGCGCACCGAGGUAAUGAUUAAUAGGGACAGUUGGGGGUAUUCGUAUUGCACUGUCAGAGGUGAAAUUCUUGGAUUUUUGCAAGACGAACGACUGCGAAAGCAUUUACCAAGGAUGUUUUCAUCA